rnacentral:rRNA from 1 species
AUGAUAGGCAGGCAGGAGAGUUGGAGACCAAGACCGAGGAGAGGGGCCGUUCCAAGAGGAAGAGGUAAUUUAUAUGGCAGGUAUGAGAAUUUUGGGAGAGGAUUUAUUAGGCAGGAUGAGAGAGAGCAGGACGGAUAUGGAUGGAGAAACAGAGAGGGAAAUUUCAGAGGGGGAUCAUGGACGAAUAGCAAUCGGUCUGGUGGGGAAGGAACCUCGACGGGAAAUGGCAGAGAUGGAGACAGCAAGCUAGGCAGGUUUACUUCAGACAUAAAUGGGAACCAGCAAGAGAGAUCUCAAGUUGGGAUGGGUGAGACUGGGCCUGGAAGUGGGUUUGUGGUUAGUAAUCCUAAUAUGCAGCAGAUGGGAAUGCAGGGAGGGCCUAUCCAGAUGGCAGGGGGCUUCCCAAUGAUAAGCAAUAGAAACUACAUAGAUGGUGUCGUUUGGAAUGGGGCUUGGGCAAUUUGGCUUCAUACCAUAAGACCAAAUGGCACAUCAAUACCAGUACCUGCUCUCAAAUCUGCCAAAACAGGAGAUUUUGCGGACACAAGGGGGAGCAAAGGUGGAAGGGGCCAAAGAGGCAACAAAAAAGAAGGAAGCAGGAAAUACCAAAGAGCUUUUCUGUGCCAAAUGCAAAGAACAGGGACAUAUGAAGAGUGA